GAUGAACGCUGGCGGCGUGCUUAACACAUGCAAGUCGAACGAUGAAGCCCAGCUUGCUGGGUGGAUUAGUGGCGAACGGGUGAGUAACACGUGAGUAACCUGCCCUUAACUCUGGGUAAGCCUGGGAAACUGGGUCUAAUACCGGAUAGGAGCGUCCACCGCAUGGUGGGUGUUGGAAAGAUUUAUCGGUUUUGGAUGGACUCGCGGCCUAUCAGCUUGUUGGUGAGGUAAUGGCUCACCAAGGCGACGACGGGUAGCCGGCCUGAGAGGGUGACCGGCCACACUGGGACUGAGACACGGCCCAGACUCCUACGGGAGGCAGCAGUGGGGAAUAUUGCACAAUGGGCGCAAGCCUGAUGCAGCGACGCCGCGUGAGGGAUGACGGCCUUCGGGUUGUAAACCUCUUUCAGUAGGGAAGAAGCGAAAGUGACGGUACCUGCAGAAGAAGCACCGGCUAACUACGUG
rnacentral:rRNA from 1 species